rnacentral:rRNA from 1 species
GACGAACGCUGGCGGCGUGCUUAACACAUGCAAGUCGAACGACGUGGCGAACGGGUGAGUAACGCGUAAUCAACCUGCCCUUCAGCGGGGGACAACAGUUGGAAACGACUGCUAAUACCGCAUACUUCAGGAGGAGAUUGCGUCUGAUUAGCUAGUUGGAGGGGUAACGGCCCCCCAAGGCGAUGAUCAGUAGCCGGUAUGAGAGGAUGAACGGCCACAUUGAGACUGGGACCCGGACCAGACUCCUACGGGAGGCAGCAGUGGGGAAGCUUCCGCAAUGGACGAAAGUCUGACGGAGCAACGCCGCGUGAGUGAUGACGGCCUUCGGGUUGUAAAGCUCUGUUAAUCGGGACGCGGUACCGGAAGAGAAAGCCACGGCUAACUACGUGCCAGCAGCCGCGGUAAUAC